CGCCUAGGGCCCGCCUCCGUGAAGGACUGCCGGGCGCAUGCGGCCGGGCUGCUUCACUGGCUGCCGGGCCCCGCACGGUCGUCGCCCUCCCCGCUCUCCGCCGCCUGGAGGAUCUGAAGCGGCCCUCAGGUCUGUUGACCAAAUGAUGUUUCUGGACCUUUGAAGCUGUGGGCCAGUGGUAAAUGCCCCCUGGUCAAAAAGUAAAAUGAAGUACAUUCUAGUUACUGGUGGUGUUAUAUCAGGAAUUGGAAAAGGAAUCAUCGCCAGCAGUGUGGGCACAAUACUGAAGUCAUGUGGUUUACAUGUAACUUCAAUUAAAAUUGACCCGUACAUUAACAUUGAUGCAGGAACAUUCUCUCCUUACGAGCAUGGUGAGGUUUUUGUACUGGAUGAUGGUGGAGAAGUUGACCUUGACCUGGGUAACUAUGAGCGUUUCCUUGACAUCCGCCUCACCAAGGAUAACAAUCUGACCACCGGGAAGAUAUACCAAUACGUCAUUAACAAGGAGCGCAAAGGGGAUUACCUGGGAAAAACCGUCCAAGUUGUCCCUCACAUCACAGAUGCAAUCCAGGAGUGGGUAAUGAGACAGGCAUUAAUACCUGUGGAUGAAGAUGGCCUGGAACCUCAAGUGUGUGUUAUCGAGCUCGGUGGAACAGUGGGAGAUAUAGAAAGCAUGCCAUUUAUUGAGGCCUUCCGUCAGUUCCAAUUCAAGGUCAAAAAAGAGAACUUUUGUAAUAUUCACGUCAGCCUAGUUCCUCAGCCAAGUUCAACAGGGGAACAGAAGACUAAACCCACCCAGAAUAGUGUUCGGGAACUCAGAGGCCUUGGGCUUUCUCCAGAUCUGGUUGUGUGCAGGUGUGCAAAUCCUCUCGACACAUCAGUGAAAGAGAAAAUAUCUAUGUUCUGCCAUGUUGAACCUGAACAGGUGAUCUGUGUCCACGAUGUCUCGUCCAUCUACCGAGUCCCCUUGUUAUUAGAGGAGCAGGGGGUUGUAGAUUAUUUUCUUCGAAGACUUGACCUUCCUAUCGAGAGGCAGCCACGAAGAAUGCUGAUGAAGUGGAAAGAGAUGGCUGACAGAUACGACCGCUUGCUGGAGACCUGCUCUAUUGCGCUUGUGGGCAAGUACACUAAGUUCUCAGACUCCUACGCUUCUGUCAUUAAAGCCCUGGAGCAUUCCGCACUGGCCAUCAACCAUAAGUUGGACAUCAAGUACAUCGAUUCCACGGACUUGGAGCCGAGCACCUUGCAGGAGGAGCCUGUGCGCUACCACGAGGCCUGGCAGAAGCUCUGCGGCGCUCACGGAGUGCUGGUUCCAGGGGGAUUUGGUGUUCGAGGGACGGAAGGGAAAAUCCAAGCUAUCUCCUGGGCUCGGAAGCAGAAGAAGCCUUUUUUGGGCGUGUGCUUAGGAAUGCAGUUGGCAGUGGUUGAAUUUUCAAGAAAUGUGCUGGGAUGGCAAGAUGCCAAUUCUACAGAGUUUAACCCCAAUACCAGUCAUCCUGUGGUCAUAGACAUGCCAGAGCACAAUCCUGGGCAGAUGGGCGGCACCAUGCGGCUGGGCAAGAGGAGAACCCUGUUUCAAACCAAGAACUCCGUCAUGAGGAAACUCUACGGAGAUUCAGAUUACUUGGAAGAGAGGCACCGCCACAGAUUUGAGGUGAAUCCAGUCUUGAAAAAGUGUUUGGAGGAGCAAGGCUUAAAGUUUGUUGGCCAAGAUGUUGGAGGAGAGAGAAUGGAAAUUGUGGAGUUGGAAGGCGAGUACUUGGGGUGCUGUAACUAAUGGAAAACGGUACGGUUUUCUUGGCACGUGGGGAAACACAAACAUGUUGGCUGCUACCCCUGACCUAACAGAAUAGGAAGCAGCACUGCCUUGGGAGGUGGGGGUCUUGGCGAUGGAGGUGCCUGGAGCCCAGGGACACGGGGCCCACGGGGCGGCUCUGCGCCAGGGCCUCCUGCAGGCAGCCAUUCCAGCUCUGGCCUCGGUGCCUCCUCCUCCCGGACGGGAGCUUGGACUCGGUCCUUGGGCCCCCUCUAAUCUAAUGUGACCUGCGACUCAACCCUUCAGAUGUCUGGGGAGCCAGGGACAGGACCUGGAGAGGAGGUGCCUUCUGCCAGGAGGCUGACACGGGCAGGGGAGAGGGCAUCUGCUCCCAUGUCUUGUGGGUACUUUAACCCGGGUUCCAAUCAAGACGCUGUUUCAAAUAAUUGUAGGGUCUGUGCACAUGUGAAACAUUUAACAAGAUUUUUGUCUCUAAUACAUGUGAUGUGCACAUGCAUGAUGAAGCUGUUUCUUGCAUGUUUCUGUUUCAGAUCACCCCUUUUUUGUUGGCGUUCAGUACCACCCUGAGUUCCUGUCCAGACCCAUCAAGCCGUCCCCGCCGUACUUUGGCCUCCUCCUGGCCUCCGUGGGGCGGCUCCCGCAUUACCUCCAGAAGGGCUGCAGGCUCUCGCCCAGGGACACCUACAGUGACAGAAGCGGAAGCAGCUCCCCUGACUCCGAGAUCACCGAAUUGAAGUUUCCAUCCAUAAAUCAUGACUGAUGGUAAUGGGUGAUUCUUCAAGAGAGCCUUCAGACUUCGGGAGUUUACAGCUUGAUUUUACACUCGGCUUUUGACACUUCCUUUAAAUUAUGUUUUUAUUAAGAAUAUUUUAUUAUGGGGAAGGGUAUUGGGAAGACUGUGACCUGCAUGUCCCAUCAUGUGUAUCGGCUCCUGCACGGUGGCUGCCUGGUGUUGACACUCUCCUUUUUAGCCCCAGCCUCAGACGGGAGGCGGGACAUCCGGGCAGGAGCGGUGACAGGGCGGCUGGAGUGCCCGCCAAGCGCCUCGUUUUUGCAGCCACCUGCGUCGCUGUGGAUUUGCGUGUGUGGCCUCUCGCUUCCCCAGGGAGGCCUAGACCAUUCUCAAGAGUGCCGCAUGCGCUUGGUGCGCCCGGACGGUAACUUUAGCUAAUGCUUACACCCUUGGUGCUGGUGACCUGCGGGUGCUGCCAAGAGCAGUGAAACCAGAAACGAAGCCUUGGCACUGCCCCGCCUGGGGACUCUCAGUGCCAACUGUGGCUGGGACUCGCUGUCCAAGGGACAGUCAGUUUGAUGUCACAUGAACGGCAGGAAGUCUGUGUCUCUGCAGCGUGAUUUGAGAAUCCCUGUCCUCUGGCUGGGCGUCUCCUGGGGCUGGGAAGCGCUCCUUGCAUCAAGGGGUCACUCAAAAAAGAACAGAGCCUCUAAGACCCUCUCACAUAUCAACAGCUUUGCUUGAGGGACUUCUUCCUUCGGGAUGGUGUUACUGCAGUUGAAAGGCAAUAUGAAAAUCUAUUUUCUUUACAUGACGUAACAAUGGGCACAGCUGUGUGCCCCUUAUAUUCUGGCUGGACUUGGUGUAAACUCUAACUUAAGAAAUAAAUAAUGCGGAACAAGA